UAUUUUUCUUUUAUAUAUCGAUCUAAUUAUCUUCAUGAAAUAGUUUAUUACUGAACAAUCUAAGCGAUGGCAUGAAGAUUAUUUUCUAAAAGAUAUCGACUAUAUGUUGCUAUUUCAUUUCAUAAGCAGCAUGGCGUCCUGGAUCCGACAGAAACUCGGAAUCAAAGAUAAUACACGCAUGCAGCAAUUGGAUCUUUCUAAAGAUGCGUCGAAAUACCUUGAUGAAAAUCAAAUGUUUUUUGUGAAGAAGAUUGAAAAAGCGAAUAAAGUGCGAGUUAUCCAGACGAAAUCAUCAAAGAAGCGAGGCCGAUUUAUUGGUCUUUUUCUGCUUUUUAGUGCUGUCGGGUUAUAUCUAGGAACCCUCCGCAGCAUCAAACAAGAGACAUUCUUGGAUGAAUUUGACGAUAUGCAUAAAUCCUAGCAUUUCCUUUUUUUGUGUGAAAUGCUAUGGAGUGCCUGUUUCUUCUGUUUUAUUAUAAGGAUGAAAAGGUGUGUGAUUGAUUACUGGAAUUGGAACUUUAAUUAUGGAUUAGAAUAAAAUCUAAUUGAAUGAAUAAUUUUGUGAGUUUCAACAAUUAAGAUGUUACAUAUUCUUCACAGUUUUAAGGUGAAAAUCACAGACAGACAUUGCUCCCACUGAUGAGAAGCUGUUGUUUCGGGUUUACAAUAUGAUGCUGGAAGGAAUGGUGAACUUUGAAUGGGAUGGACCACAAUGACAUAUCUAUACAUGAUUUGUGGUUUGUUCACGUUACACAUGCAGGUUAGAUAACUAUAGGUAUAACAAUGUAGAAACUAUAGCAUUUCAAACUGUUUUGAUUAAAUGUUUUCUUGAUUAUGACAAUACCUGUAUAAGUUACCAUGCACAGAGACUGUAAUGUCCUGUUCUUUGUGAUAGAUUUAAAUUUUUGUAACACAUUUAAAUGUGUUGAAUUGUAGUCAUGUGAUAAUAAAUUUGUGUUAUCUUGUAUGAAAUAUAUGUGUACAUAUAUUUUGUCAUCUAACAUUAAAAACUUUCAACUUGAA